UACGUAGGGUGCAAGCGUUGUCCGGAAUUAUUGGGCGUAAAGAGCUCGUAGGCGGUUUGUCGCGUCUGCUGUGAAAACGCGAGGCUCAACCUCGCGCCUGCAGUGGGUACGGGCAGACUAGAGUGCGGUAGGGGAGAUUGGAAUUCCUGGUGUAGCGGUGGAAUGCGUAGAGAUCCGGAAGAACACCAGUGGCGAAGGCGGCCCGCUGGGCAGUGGCUGACGCUCAGGUGCGAAAGCUAGGGGAGCGAACAGG
rnacentral:rRNA from 1 species